GGCACCUCAAGUAUCACAAAAAGGCUAGGAACCUUGCAUCCAGAGCUGAAUAUGGGCUGUUUGGUUUUCUCGCAUGAAUGAAUUUGCUUUCAGCUGAGAAUUUACUUUUAACAAAUAAGCUGUUUUACAGGAUGCAAAGGUGGAAGGGGUGGAGUGUCUUAUGACUUACUACACUGUGGGUGCAGCCACUGACAUGAUUUCUGGAUCCUCAUGUAUCUGCCUUGCUUGUUUGGACAAGAAAGAAAGCCUACUUAUAGAUUAAGCAACUAUUAGGAAACUCUGUCUCCAGAUGUCUCCAUCACUUGAAGAAGCACUGCAAGCUGUAUUCUGUGUGAAGGAGACUUCCUUCUCUGUAACUCUCUUCUAAGGGCAAGGAGGAAG